CCUACGGGAGGCAGCGGUGAGGAAUAUUGGUCAAUGGACGGAAGUCUGAACCAGCCAUGCCGCGUGAAGGUCAGUGCCCUAUGGGCGUUAAACUUCUUUUGUGCGGGAGCAAUAAUGGUCACGUGUGGCCAGACGAGAGUACCGUACGAAUAAGCAUCGGCUAACUCCGGGCCAGCAGCCGCGGUAAUACGGGGGAUGCAAGCGUUAUCCGGAUUUAUGGGGUUUAAAGGGUGCGUAGGCUGUGAGGUAAGUCAGGGGUGAAAGGCCCCGCUCAAAGGGGUGAAGUGCCAUUGAUACUGGCUGGCUGGAGUGCGGAUGCGGUGGGAGGAAUGUGUGGUGUAGCGGUGAAAUGCGUAGAUAUCACGCAGAACACCGAUUGCGAAGGCAUCUCACGAAUCCGCGAUUGACGCUGAUGCACGAAAGCGUGGGUAGCAAACAGGAUUAGAUACCCGAGUAGUC
rnacentral:rRNA from 1 species